rnacentral:rRNA from 1 species
CGCGUAGGCGGGGAGGUAAGUCGGGUGUGAAAUCCCUCGGCCCAACUGAGGAACUGCGCCCGAGACUGCUUCUCUUGAGUCCCGGAGAGGAAGAUGGAAUUCCCGGUGUAGCGGUGAAAUGUGUAGAGAUCGGGAGGAACACCGGUGGCGAAGGCGGUCUUCUGGACGGUGACUGACGCUGAGGCGCGAAAGCGUGGGGAGCAAAACGG